GUUGUAUGGUUAAGUGACUAAGCGUACACGGUGGAUGCCUUGGCAGUCAGAGGCGAUGAAAGGCGUAAUAACUUGCGAUAAGCCCAGAUUAGGUAGUAAUAACCUUUUGAGUCUGGGAUUCCUGAAUGGGGAAACCCACUUACAUAAGUAAGUAUCCUGUUGUGAAUACAUAGCAACAGGAGGCAAACCGGGGGAACU
rnacentral:rRNA from 1 species